GGUUCGAUGGCGUAAUGGUAUCACAUCCUGCCUUAUCGUUCUUGCACAAGUGCAUCAGCAGGAAGUCCAGAGUUCAAUUUUCUGUUGAGCCA